rnacentral:rRNA from 1 species
GAUGAACGCUGGCGGCGUGCUUAACACAUGCAAGUCGAACGAAGCACUUUAACCUGAUUCUUCGGAUGAAGGUUUUUGUGCCUGAGUGGCGGACGGGUGAGUAACGCGUGGGUAACCUGCCUCAUACAGGGGGAUAACAGUUAGAAAUGACUGCUAAUACCGCAUAAGACCACAGAGCCGCAUGGCUCGUUGGGAAAAACUCCGGUGGUAUGAGAUGGACCCGCGUCUGAUUAGGUAGUUGGUGGGGUAACGGCCUACCAAGCCAACGAUCAGUAGCCGACCUGAGAGGGUGACCGGCCACAUUGGGACUGAGACACGGCCCAAACUCCUACGGGAGGCAGCAGUGGGGAAUAUUGCACAAUGGGGGAAACCCUGAUGCAGCGACGCCGCGUGAGCGAAGAAGUAUUUCGGUAUGUAAAGCUCUAUCAGCAGGGAAGAAAAUGACGGUACCUGACGAAGAAGCACCGGCUAAAUACGUG